CUUCCCGUUCCACUGCAUUUCUAUGUUUUUAAAUUCCUACUUCAAGUCUCAGGGCAAACGCCACCCGCUCUGAGAAGCAUUCCCUGAUACCACAGAGGCAAAGAGUCUCCCCUCCUUUAUGAUUUUGCUGCUCUUUACCUAUACUUCUCUUCAGCACCUGCCCUUUUCUCUUUUGGGUUAUGAUGAUUUCAGGAGCCUUUUUGCAACAGCCAGGUCUCCAGGGGCAUGACUGACAUUGAUUUAUCCAUCCCACAGGGUCCAGCUCAGUGGCCAGCACAAAGCAGGAACCAAGGAAAUGGCUGAUUAACAGUCACAUGUGCACAGACACAUUGUAUUUUGUGCAGAGCAUCUGGGCUCGACUUAAACACUGAUGUUCAGCCGAUAGGAUUUGGUUCCUGGUAUACCCGCACUGUCUCUCUCCUACAAUUCAGGCCGGCAGUCUUGGACUCUGAGUCAGACUGCCUGAGUUCAAAGCCUGGCUCUGCCACUUCCCAGCUAUGAGAGCUUGGACAAGUUGCUGAACUUCUCUGUGCCUCCAUUGCUCACCUAUGCAGUGAAGAUAAUGACAGUAUUCUCUUCAUACAGCUGCCGUGCAGAUAAAAUGAGCGAAUACUUGUAAGACACUUGAAAAAGUACCCAGUGUAAAGCAAGCUCUCAAAAAAUGCUACUAGCUUUAAAUAGUAUUUUUACUACUACUAAUCAAAAGAUAACAACCAUGGGACUUCUUGCCAGUUAGCAGUAUCCUUCUCUAAUGAUAUGGAACCUGGGGACCAGUGGGGCAAAGAAGAAUUAACAGCACCUACAUAGCUCUGAUUAUGUCAAGCACUUCGUCUAAAUGUUUGCACAGAUGAACUCAUUUAAGCCCCAGAACAACUCCGUGAGUAACCUUAACAUCUGGACGCAGACAGCCCCAGCAAUCCUGGAGGAAACCUUGGAAAUACGCGGGUCAUCUUCUAUGAAGACCACAGCAGCCCUGAGAAACCAAUACAGCGUUCCAAUCUUUAAAAGAAGAGCCAAACGUCAUGCCUGGAUUAUUCCAGAAUUUUGCUGCUACGAACAAUGCUGCUAAGAUGAGUGUCUUCAAUCACUUGCA
rnacentral:lncRNA from 1 species